rnacentral:lncRNA from 1 species
UGGUUUCUCUUUACCUAUCUGCCUUAAAACAGUUCAGGCCGCUAUAACAGAUACCAUAGACUAGGUGGCUUCAACCACAAACAUUUAUUUCUCACAGCUCUGGAGGCUAGGAAGUCCAAGAUCAAGAUGCCAGCAGAUCCAGUGUCAGGGCACUUGAAUGUCAAAGCACAAUGUUUGGAGACAUGGGCCUCUCGACUGGACUUCAUGGUCAGUGGAAUGCAUAUCGUAUGCAAUGAGACUGAUGGAAAGGGCAGAUCAGAGAUAAUGUACCGGAAGAGGUCAAUGACAGCAUCAUGAAUCCAAGAAGCUUUGAAUCUCAAACAACCUAGAUGGGAGUGGAGUUGAUGUAGUCUAGACAUUUUCCUUGGAUGACUCACAAAGUAAAUCUAGUGACGACCAAAAAGAGACAUCAAGGAGAUUGGCCAGAUAUUUGAGGACAUCUUCAUAUUAGAAAAAUGGUGAUUCAACUGAGAGUAGUAGCACCUUCGGAUCUGGAGUUACAUAGAGCAAGGGAGAACCCGAAUUGUAUUGAGGAAUCCUGCCAGCCCUAUUGACCACAUGCUUCUCCACAUCAUGAGAUCAAGGCCACGCCCAGGAAUUCUGGAAUUCUCUGCACUGAAGAAGAGAGAAUGUCAGGCUCUCCCAAGACGGAGGAGAUGGUGUGUCACUACACUGCUGAAUCACACACAUGAAAAACAAGCCCUCCAACCAUGUAGUAAUUACAAACACAUUGCAUGACAGUGUUCGUCAGCUCCAGCAAGUAGUCUUCGGAGAAGCAAAAUCCAGAAACUCUUCCACGGUUACAACAGGAAAGUAUUUCAGUGGUUUAAGUCACAAAUCUAAGGAAUGUAAAUGGCCAGACUAUUUAAAUUUCUAGACAGAGGAGAUUUGUAAUCAGUAAAUUUCUUACCCUCAGUUCCUCCUAGGGGCCCUCAUUUGUGUUAAUAUAAUUCUCAAUAGUAAGUCCCUUACCACUGAUAAUAUUUUCAGCAAUGCACGGCACCAACUCUAGGCUAUAAUGCAGCAGUACAAUUGGAGACGGGUACAAUCUGACCACAGAAC